rnacentral:rRNA from 1 species
AUUACCGAGUUUACAACUCCCAAACCCCUGUGAACAUACCAAUUGUUGCCUCGGCGGAUCAGCCCGCUCCCGGUAAAACGGGACGGCCCGCCAGAGGACCCCUAAACUCUGUUUCUAUAUGUAACUUCUGAGUAAAACCAUAAAUAAAUCAAAACUUUCAACAACGGAUCUCUUGGUUCUGGCAUCGAUGAAGAACGCAGCAAAAUGCGAUAAGUAAUGUGAAUUGCAGAAUUCAGUGAAUCAUCGAAUCUUUGAACGCACAUUGCGCCCGCCAGUAUUCUGGCGGGCAUGCCUGUUCGAGCGUCAUUUCAACCCUCAAGCCCAGCUUGGUGUUGGGACUCGCGAGUCAAAUCGCGUUCCCCAAAUUGAUUGGCGGUCACGUCGAGCUUCCAUAGCGUAGUAGUAAAACCCUCGUUACUGGUAAUCGUCGCGGCCACGCCGUUAAACCCCAACUUCUGAAUGUUGACCUCGGAUCAGGUAGGAAUACCCGCUGAACUUAAGCAUAUCAAUAAGCGGAGGAAAAGAAACCAACAGGGAUUGCCCUAGUAACGGCGAGUGAAGCGGCAACAGCUCAAAUUUGAAAUCUGGCUCUCGGGCCCGAGUUGUAAUUUGUAGAGGAUACUUUUGAUGCGGUGCCUUCCGAGUUCCCUGGAACGGGACGCCAUAGAGGGUGAGAGCCCCGUCUGGUUGGAUGCCAAAUCUCUGUAAAGUUCCUUCGACGAGUCGAGUAGUUUGGGAAUGCUGCUCUAAAUGGGAGGUAUAUGUCUUCUAAAGCUAAAUACCGGCCAGAGACCGAUAGCGCACAAGUAGAGUGAUCGAAAGAUGAAAAGCACUUUGAAAAGAGAGUUAAAAAGUACGUGAAAUUGUUGAAAGGGAAGCGUUUAUGACCAGACUUGGGCUUGGUUGAUCAUCUGGGGUUCUCCCCAGUGCACUCUUCCAGUCCAGGCCAGCAUCAGUUUUCGCCGGGGGAUAAAGACUUCGGGAAUGUGGCUCUCUUCGGGGAGUGUUAUAGCCCGUUGUGUAAUACCCUGGCGGGGACUGAG